CGGUUUCCAUUGGGCGAACAGGAGCAAGAGCAGCGAGCAGACAGAGCAGCGCACGAGAGCAGCGGGGACGCGGGUUCACGUCUCGCGACUGGAACAUUCACGCUGCUCCGAGAGCAACGCAGCGAUGAGGAGGAUGUGACGUCAGGAGUCACGCGACCAAACUUUUCCCGCGCUCUUGUUGCCGCCUGCAUUCCGUCGCGCGCGCGCAGCAUAUUCGGUGGCGGCCUUGCGUUCGUCGCUGUGUUUAGCAUGACAAUGGGUGAAGAAGCACAACGGCUGUUCAUGACCAUGAUAAAGGAGUCACCGCUACCCGCAGCAUCAGCUGUCAUCGAUGCCUUGGCCAGUCCUGAGAACGUUGGCGAGAUACCCGACGAGAACACCGCUGCGUCGGACGUGGGCGAGAGGGGACCGCAGCCAGCGCCAGAAGUGAAAAGAGGCGGCGGAGGUGAGCUUGUAAAAC
rnacentral:lncRNA from 1 species